UUCAAUUUUAACAAGUUCUUCCUGCAAAUGAGCAUUUCCUGAGACUAUCAGAGCACCUGAGAACAGCUCCAUCAGCCACGUCAAAUGCUUCACAGCGGCAGUCAAUUACAUUCGAGCAUAUUUAAGAUGAGCAGAGUCAGACGUUAGUUUUCUCUCCACUCGCUUCAGGUGAAGCAGUUCAGAAACUUAUGGCCACCGGCUGCUGUUUGCCCCAGGAAAGAGCUUAAAAGCAGAACAACCUCUUCCCCAAAUAACGACCAUAUGUAAAGCACUGCGCAGCAGAUCCGUCCUGCAAACUGCUUAGCGCUCUCAGGGGUGCAGUAAGUUGUGCCAGCGUGUUUCCGCUGCGCAACCCGGAAAACAAACUUUCCCAACUGCUUACGGGCUAUAUUUAUAUAUUUUUUUAAAGGAAGCUUUUCUGCCAUCUUCAGUUGAAAUCUAAGCUACAAGUUGAAGAUCAGCCCCCAGCCAACAGCACAUCUUCUCGAAACAAAUGAUUGUUUUCCUCACUCGACAAAGCAAUAAUGAGACAAGAAACCAGAUCCUGGGCAUACAGUUCUAAGGAACAUCAAACAAGAAAAAUACAACCAAGUUCUUCCGCCAUGGAGCAGAUCCCCACAAAAUCCAGCUGCAGAGCAGGGCCAUGGCUUAUCUCUCCAUGCCUUCACCAUUGGAGUGUUCCCAGAGUGUCAUAUGGAUCUGCUCUUUUACUAUUAAAAAUACCUUCCAAGGGAAUAUUUCUGAAGCAAAUUCUCCUGCCUUGUGGGGAGAAUUAGGAGCAGAAGAGUGUACAUUAGCUCUUACUCAGCUGAAGUAGGAAGAGGAACAGUGAGGUGAGAUGCAGCUUGGGCAGCAUCAUUCAAAGACUAGGGCAGCUCCCAAGGUUCACC
rnacentral:lncRNA from 1 species